GCCAUAUCACAAGGACUGGUGCUGGUUGGUGCUCCUAAAGAAGCUGUUGAAGUUUUUCAUGAAAGUAAAAUGACCAAUACUGAAGGUGCCACCAUAGAGAAACCCUUUCCAGUUCACCAGAGAAUGUUUAUUAGAAGAAAGAAGGACUGUUCCAGGGCCACCAAAUCUCGAAUGAAGACAUUGUUUAGUGACAAAAUAUAACUGCUAUCUCUGAAAGUGUUUCUAACAUUGUAUGUGGACAGAGGUGGAAAGAGAUCAGUAAAUAUAUAUUUCAUUUGUAGGCAUUUAUACUAGUUUCCUCUCAGAUCAUUCUGGUGGAGAAUUGUUAUAUUUAUAAAAGAUUUAAUUAUCAUUUUGAGAAAUUUGACUCUUGGAUUUUAGUUUAACAGAAUAAAAUUUGAAUAAGUAACUGUUAUGAUUCU
rnacentral:lncRNA from 1 species